AAAAAAAAAAAAGAAAAAAGAAAGCAGAAGAAGAGGGAGAGGGAAAAGAAUGGCUGAUGGAAUAAAAAAAUAUCUAAGGAAAGGUUUUAUAUGCAUUUUUCACUGUAAAAAAUGAAGUGAAAUAUUAAGGUUGCGUUUGGCAUUUUUGUCAUUUUUUGUUUCUGGUAAAACGUGUUUGUCCAAAUUGUUUUCAUUUAUUUUUGUGAUCACUU
rnacentral:misc_RNA from 1 species